rnacentral:sRNA from 1 species
GCUUCUUCCCGCGCGGCUCCGCCUGCCGCGCGCUUCCGCUGCUGGCCAGUCCUUCUGCCCCUCCCCCUCCUGUACGGCCGCUACUCUGCGCCCGGCUUCCUUCUCACAACCUGGUUCUGCCCACACCUGUUCUUCAGCCCUGUGAACAGUGGCUGUAGAACAGUCUCAGGCCCUGCAGACCCACCUCCCUCGCUCCCGUGGUGGCGGUGGUGACGGGCUGGGGACGUGGGGUAGAAAAAUGGGCGGGAUGUGGAAGGCCGCGUUGCCGGGGCCCACUUCCGGAGGACGGGCGGAAGUGGCUGCGGUGGAUGGUUAACACAGAAAUCUGCCUCCUGGGCCAUGCCGCUUCUAAGGCCUGUUUCUUCUCAUGAGCCCCAGCACAAGACAGAUGGGCCAGUUCUCACAGUGGAUAACUUCCCCUGCCUGAGCAAGAGAUGGGAUAGUAUCUGGGAUCUGUCCAUCACCAGACUCUGAGCUUAAUAAGGCAGCUGAAUGAAGGGAGGUAACGGACCCCUGAGAGGGGCACUGAAGUCUGCAGUGGGGGGGGAGGGG